CCUACGUGAGGCAGCAGUGAGGAAUAUUGGUCAAUGGCCGGAAGGCUGAACCAGCCAUGCCGCGUGAAGGUCAGUGCCCUAUGGGCGUUAAACUUCUUUUGUGCGGGAGCAAUAAUGGUCACGUGUGGCCAGACGAGAGUACCGUACGAAUAAGCAUCGGCUAACUCCGUGCCAGCAGCCGCGGUAAUACGGGGGAUGCAAGCGUUAUCCGGAUUUGGUGGGUUUAAAGGGGGCGUAGGCUGUGAGGUAAGUCAGCGGUGAAAUGCCGCUGCUCAACGGGGUGAAGGGCCAUUGAUACUGGCUUGCUGGAAUGCGUAUGCCGUGGGAGGAAUGUGUGGUGUAGCGGUGAAAUGCAUAGAUAUCACACAGAACACCGAUUGCGAAGGCAUCUGACGAAUCCGCGAUUGACGCUGAUGCACGAAAGCGUGGGUAUCAAACAGGAUUAGAUACCCGAGUAGUC
rnacentral:rRNA from 1 species